CAAUAGCGUAUAUUUAAGUUGUUGCAGUUAAAAAGCUCGUAGUUGGAUUUCGGAUGGGAUUUGCCGGUCCGUCGUUACGAUGUGCACUGGCCAGUCCUAUCUUGUUGUCGGGGACUAGCUCCUUGGAUUCACUUCCUGGGACUAGGAGCUGACGAGGUUACUUUGAGUAAAUUAGAGUGUUCAAAGCAAGCCUACGCUCUGAAUACAUUAGCGUGGAAUAACACGAUAGGACUCUGGCUUAUCUUGUUGGUCUGUGAGACCUGAGUAAUGAUUAAGAGGGACAGUCGGGGACAUUCGUAUUUCAUUGUCAGAGGUGAAAUUCUUGGAUUUAUGAAAGACGAACUUCUGCGAAAGCAUUUGUCAAGGAUGUUUUCAUUAA
rnacentral:rRNA from 1 species